UACGUAGGGGCGAGCGUUGUCCGGAUUUAUUGGGCGUAAAGAGCGUGUAGGCGGCCAGGUAGGUCUGCUGUGAAAACUCGAGGCUCAACCUCGAGACGUCGGCGGAAACCAUCUGGCUAGAGUCCGGAAGAGGAGAGUGGAAGUUCCUGGUGUAGCGGUGAAAUGCGCAGAUAUCAGGAAGAACACCCGUGGCGAAGGCGGCUCUCUGGGACGGUACUGACGCUGAGACGCGAAAGCGUGGGGAGCGAACAGG
rnacentral:rRNA from 1 species